GUAUUUCUAUUUUCGAUGAGAGUCUAGCCAAGGAAGAAACAAGCUCUUUGGAUACCAUUUUAUUUUUAUAUUAUGUUUUUAUUUUCUUUUAGCAGCAUUAGUGUUGUCCAAAGAUUGAUUUUAUUUUGAACAUCUAUUCCAAUUCAACUAUAUUUUUUUAUUUUAUUUCUUUUGUGUUAUUUUAUUUAAUUGUGUUUAGGUAAUUGUUUAACUUGGUUUGAACUAAAAUCAGGUUAAGUAUGAACAUGUAAAAUAGUGAGGUCUAGUCUGGGCAAAGUAGUUGUGUGCGUGUUUUCCCGA
rnacentral:lncRNA from 1 species